rnacentral:rRNA from 1 species
UACGUAGGGGGCAAGCGUUGUCCGGAAUUAUUGGGCGUAAAGAGCGUGUAGGCGGUCCGGUAAGUCAGCUGUGAAAGUCAAGGGCUCAACCCUUGAAUGCCGGUUGAUACUGUCGGGCUAGAGUCCGGAAGAGGCGAGUGGAAUUCCCGGUGUAGCGGUGAAAUGCGCAGAUAUCGGGAGGAACACCAAUGGCGAAGGCAGCUCGCUGGGGCGGUACUGACGCUGAGACGCGAAAGCGUGGGGAGCGAACAGG